rnacentral:rRNA from 1 species
AUUCCUACGGGGCGCAGCAGUGAGGAAUAUUGGUCAAUGGGAGAGAUCCUGAACCAGCCAAGCCGCGUGAGGGAAGACGGCCCUAUGGGUUGUAAACCUCUUUUGUCGGAGAACAAAACCCGGGACGAGUCCCGGACUGCGUGUAUCCGAAGAAAAAGCAUCGGCUAACUCCGUGCCAGCAGCCGCGGUAAUACGGAGGAUGCGAGCGUUAUCCGGAUUUAUUGGGUUUAAAGGUAGCGCAGGCGGCGGGUUAAGUCAGCGGUGAAAUUUCGGGGCCCAACCCCGACGAGCCG